CGGGGAUAUAAUUGUUGAAAAAUCCAUGGCACUUGUCUUCGCAGUAUAGACUAGAGGUGAAGGGUUUAGUAAGGAGUCUUUUUGAUUGUUUGUCUGCGCUGCUGCUUUCCUGCUUAAAACUUUAUCAGUGUCGGGCCUUAUCCAUGGCGUCUUCAUUUGUGUUUCUAUCAAAACCCUUAUUGCUUAACAAAACUAAUUCCCCUUCUCUCUCUCAGCAGAGGCUUGUAGGAUUGAGGAGAAAUUCUCUCAGAAUCAAUGCAAUUGCCAAAAAAUGGGAUCCCACGAAGGUUGUUCCUCAAUCUGAUAGGGUCCUUAUCCGUCUUGAAGAAUUACCUGAGAAAUCAACUGGCGGAGUUUUGUUGCCUAAAUCAGCUGUGAAAUUUGAGCGCUACCUAAUGGGGGAGGUACUAUCUGUUGGUACUGAGGUUGGGGAAGUGGAGGCUGGAAAGAAGGUUCUUUUCUCAGACAUAAAUGCUUAUGAGGUAAGCAGUGUUGCCACGGUAGGAAACUUCCAUAUGUAGUCAUUACCUGUAUAUAUCCUGUUAGUUCCCUUCAAAUUUGUUUCCUAUAUGCCUGUGCUGUUGCCUUAACUACGGACUUUGGUGCAUUGUCUACAAUUAGGUUGGUUAUAUUCCUGAUUGUAUGAGGUUUUUUAAGCUUUUACUUUGAGCAUAUUACACUUAAUAGUAGUAGAAUGUAGACUGGAGAACCACUCAGUCUACUGCUGCAAUUAAAGAAAUUGUCACUCUACAGAUGCUUGAAAGACAUCUCAACUCUUCUCUCUCU
rnacentral:misc_RNA from 1 species